rnacentral:rRNA from 1 species
GAGUAAUGUCUGGGAAACUGCCUGAUGGAGGGGGAUAACUACUGGAAACGGUGGCUAAUACCGCAUAACGUCGCAAGACCAAAGAGGGGGACCUUCGGGCCUCUUGCCAUCAGAUGUGCCCAGAUGGGAUUAGCUUGUUGGUGAGGUAACGGCUCACCAAGGCGACGAUCCCUAGCUGGUCUGAGAGGAUGACCAGCCACACUGGAACUGAGACACGGUCCAGACUCCUACGGGAGGCAGCAGUGGGGAAUAUUGCACAAUGGGCGCAAGCCUGAUGCAGCCAUGCCGCGUGUAUGAAGAAGGCCUUCGGGUUGUAAAGUACUUUCAGCGGGGAGGAAGGUGUUGUGGUUAAUAACCGCAGCAAUUGACGUUACCCGCAGAAGAAGCACCGGCUAACUCCGUGCCAGCAGCCGCGGUAAUACGGAGGGUGCAAGCGUUAAUCGGAAUUACUGGGCGUAAAGCGCACGCAGGCGGUCUGUCAAGUCGGAUGUGAAAUCCCCGGGCUCAACCUGGGAACUGCAUUCGAAACUGGCAGGCUUGAGUCUUGUAGAGGGGGGUAGAAUUCCAGGUGUAGCGGUGAAAUGCGUAGAGAUCUGGAGGAAUACCGGUGGCGAAGGCGGCCCCCUGGACAAAGACUGACGCUCAGGUGCGAAAGCGUGGGGAGCAAACAGGAUUAGAUACCCUGGUAGUCCACGCCGUAAACGAUGUCUACUUGGAGGUUGUGCCCUUGAGGCGUGGCUUCCGGAGCUAACGCGUUAAGUAGACCGCCUGGGGAGUACGGCCGCAAGGUUAAAACUCAAAUGAAUUGACGGGGGCCCGCACAAGCGGUGGAGCAUGUGGUUUAAUUCGAUGCAACGCGAAGAACCUUACCUGGUCUUGACAUCCACGGAAGAAUUCAGAGAUGGAUUUGUGCCUUCGGGAACCGUGAGACAGGUGCUGCAUGGCUGUCGUCAGCUCGUGUUGUGAAAUGUUGGGUUAAGUCCCGCAACGAGCGCAACCCUUAUCCUUUGUUGCCAGCGA